rnacentral:tRNA from 1 species
GCCUGGGUAGCUCAGUGGGUUAAGCGUCUGACUCUGGAUUUUGGCUCAGAUCGUGAUCUCACAGUUUGUGGGAUCAAGCCCCACAUUGGGCU